rnacentral:rRNA from 7 species
GACGAGGCACUACGGUGCUGAAGCAACAAAUGCCCUGCUUCCAGGAAAAGCCUCUAAGCAUCAGGUAACAUCAAAUCGUACCCCAAACCGACACAGGUGGUCAGGUAGAGAAUACCAAGGCGCUUGAGAGAACUCGGGUGAAGGAACUAGGCAAAAUGGUGCCGUAACUUCGGGAGAAGGCACGCUGACACGUAGGUGAAGUGAUUUACUCAUGGAGCUGAAGUCAGUCGAAGAUACCAGCUGGCUGCAACUGUUUAUUAAAAACACAGCACUGUGCAAACACGAAAGUGGACGUAUACGGUGUGACGCCUGCCCGGUGCCGGAAGGUUAAUUGAUGGGGUCAGCGCAAGCGAAGCUCCUGAUCGAAGCCCCGGUAAACGGCGGCCGUAACUAUAACGGUCCUAAGGUAGCGAAAUUCCUUGUCGGGUAAGUUCCGACCUGCACGAAUGGCGUAAUGAUGGCCAGGCUGUCUCCACCCGAGACUCAGUGAAAUUGAACUCGCUGUGAAGAUGCAGUGUACCCGCGGCAAGACGGAAAGACCCCGUGAACCUUUACUAUAGCUUGACACUGAACAUUGAGCCUUGAUGUGUAGGAUAGGUGGGAGGCUUUGAAGUGUGGACGCCAGUCUGCAUGGAGCCGACCUUGAAAUACCACCCUUUAAUGUUUGAUGUUCUAACGUGGACCCGUUACCCGGGUUGCGGACAGUGUCUGGUGGGUAGUUUGACUGGGGCGGUCUCCUCCUAAAGAGUAACGGAGGAGCACGAAGGUUGGCUAAUCCUGGUCGGACAUCAGGAGGUUAGUGCAAUGGCAUAAGCCAGCUUGACUGCGAGCGUGACGGCGCGAGCAGGUGCGAAAGCAGGUCAUAGUGAUCCGGUGGUUCUGAAUGGAAGGGCCAUCGCUCAACGGAUAAAAGGUACUCCGGGGAUAACAGGCUGAUACCGCCCAAGAGUUCAUAUCGACGGCGGUGUUUGGCACCUCGAUGUCGGCUCAUCACAUCCUGGGGCUGAAGUAGGUCCCAAGGGUAUGGCUGUUCGCCAUUUAAAGUGGUACGCGAGCUGGGUUUAGAACGUCGUGAGACAGUUCGGUCCCUAUCUGCCGUGGGCGCUGGAGAACUGAGGGGGGCUGCUCCUAGUACGAGAGGACCGGAGUGGACGCAUCACUGGUGUUCGGGUUGUCAUGCCAAUGGCACUGCCCGGUAGCUAAAUGCGGAAGAGAUAAGUGCUGAAAGCAUCUAAGCACGAAACUUGCCCCGAGAUGAGUUCUCCCUGAGACUUAGAGUCUCCUGAAGGAACGUUGAAGACGACGACGUUGAUAGGCCGGGUGUGUAAGCGCAGCGAUGCGUUGAGCUAACCGGUACUAAUGAACCGUGAGGCUUAACCUU